UAGGGAAUAUUGGUCAAUGGGCGGGAGCCUGAACCAGCCAUGCCGCGUGCGGGAAGAAGGCCCUAUGGGUCGUAAACCGCUUUUAUACGGGAACAACCGCAGCUACGAGUAGCUGUCUGAGUGUACCGUAGGAAUAAGGAUCGGCUAACUCCGUGCCAGCAGCCGCGGUAAUACGGAGGAUCCGAGCGUUAUCCGGAAUUAUUGGGUUUAAAGGGUGCGUAGGCGGCACUUUAAGUCAGGGGUGAAAUACGGCAGCUCAACUGUCGCAGUGCCUUUGAUACUGAAGUGCUUGAAUGUGGACGAAGGAGGCGGAACGGGACAAGUAGCGGUGAAAUGCAUAGAUAUGUCCCAGAACCCCGAUUGCGAAGGCAGCUUCCUAGGCCAAUAUUGACGCUGAUGC
rnacentral:rRNA from 1 species